UUGGAAAAAAGGUGUUGCAGGAAUUUCAUUAAUAUUUUAUUACUUUCAGUUAUUUUGGGUCGCUUGUGAAUAAUAAAUGCGCAGAGGUCGUGUAGUGUAGGUGUUGUAAGACAAAUACGUGAAAAAAUGGCAUAAGAUGGGCUGGACCGGCACAACCCUUUGAGUAUGUGUUAAGUAUCUCGGCAUCGUUGAUGGCUUGCCCGCUCGCUCGCCUGCUCGCCUGUCUACUUUACAACAAGAUUUAUCAUAUUUUUACGACUUAAUGCUAUUUGAAGGAUUAUUAAAUUAUGCAUGACGAUGUCGGGGUCAAUGUUUGUUACGAACCCCAGCUGCCGGACUUACAUGAAUGGGUUAGAAGUGACAGCGGCAAGAGUGCUUGAGCUACACAAGAGGGGGUUUUAUGAAAUAAAAGAAUUAUGCGAGGCUAUCAUGAGAGAAAAUUUAGGAACAAGCUCGUUUGACAUAAAGUUGAAUUGCUGCUGAACUGAGAAAUAUUCAAACCACACUGCAGCAUAACUUCCAAGCUUAAUGUGCACAGAAUCAAAACCCUUUUGCCUCCCCAACUCAUUUGGAAUGCCAAGCUUGGGUUUACUUACGUGGCAGCAGCUUACGAUUUAUCACCAAACCAAACAGCAAAUGGCAUAACAGUGUAGUGUUGCAAAACGGGCUGGCACACUUUUGAGCAAUUUGUCAAAAUGUGAAAAAACCUUGGAGUUGGUUAACAGCCAAAUGUGAGUCACGUCUUUGUCGUAUUGUGCACGGAAGAGGAAAGGAAAUUGCAGUGAAUGAAUGGCAAAUGAAAGAAAAAAUCAGGAGAAACGAAAAGGGAGCGAGAGGAAGGGAAACUGCAGUUAAUAAAUUGUGAGUAACAAGAGCAAAAUUGAGGGAACGAAAAGAGAGCGAGAGGAAGAAAAAAACAUGGAAGGAGAAGAAAGAGUGCGCCAAAAAG
rnacentral:lncRNA from 1 species